ACAGGCUCAGGAUGAACGCUAGCUACAGGCUUAACACAUGCAAGUCGAGGGGCAGCAUGGUCUUAGCUUGCUAAGACUGAUGGCGACCGGCGCACGGGUGAGUAACACGUAUCCAACCUGCCGUCUACUCUUGGACAGCCUUCUGAAAGGAAGAUUAAUACAAGAUGGCAUCAUGAGUCCGCAUGUUCACAUGAUUAAAGGUAUUCCGGUAGACGAUGGGGA
rnacentral:rRNA from 1 species